rnacentral:rRNA from 1 species
GGGCUCACACAAGCGGUGGAGGAUGUGGCUUAAUUCGAGGCUACGCGAAGAACCUUAUCCUGGUCUUGACAUGUUUGAGAAUCCUCCCGAAAGGGAGGGGUGCCCCUCGGGGAGCUCUUACACAGGUGCUGCAUGGCUGUCGUCAGCUCGUGUCGUGAGAUGUCGGGUUAAGUCCCUUAACGAGCGAAACCCUUGUCCCUAGUUGCCAGCGAGUUAUGUCGGGGACUCUAGGGAGACUGCCGGUGUUAAACCGGAGGAAGGUGGGGAUGACGUCAAGUCCUCAUGGCCUUUAUGACCAGGGCUGCACACGUCCUACAAUGGCGCGUACAAAGGGAAGCGAACUCGCGAGAGCAAGCAAAUCCCAAAAAGUGCGCCUUAGUUCGGAUUGCAGGCUGAAACCCGCCUGCAUGAAGUUGGAAUCGCUAGUAA